rnacentral:rRNA from 1 species
UACGAAGGGGGCUAGCGUUGCUCGGAAUCACUGGGCGUAAAGGGCGCGUAGGCGGCCAGCACAAGUCAGUUGUGAAAUCUCCGAGCUUAACUCGGAAAGGUCAACUGAUACUGUGCGGCUAGAGUGCGGAAGGGGCAACUGGAAUUCUUGGUGUAGCGGUGAAAUGCGUAGAUAUCAAGAGGAACACCUGCGGCGAAGGCGGGUUGCUGGGCCGACACUGACGCUGAUGCGCGAAAGCCAGGGGAGCGAACGGG